rnacentral:tRNA from 1 species
UGGGGAUUAGCUCAGUCGGUAGAGCAUGCGGCUGUUAACCGCAGUGUCGUUGGUUCGAGUCCAACAUUCCCAG